UCUUUUCUUACUCUCAACCUCAGGCCCAGCUCUCAAAAAUGGUCUCUUACUCUUCACAACGGAUUACACUUCAUGUUUGCCCAAUUCUUCAUUUGUUUUUUCCUUCGGUUCAUCUCAAAAAACUUUUUUCUUUAUUCAAAGUUCAGGUUUGCCCAAUUCAAGAUUUAGUAAUAAAAUGAAAAAUAUAGAAACAUCCAUAUGUAGCCGCUUCUUCUUGCUUUAUUUGUUCAAUUACCAUAGUUUCUUGAUUUGAGAUUUAGAAAAGUGAAAACUUAAAUGGAGAUAAAGUUUAUUUUUUGUUCAUGAAAAAUCUAAAUUAGAGUACAUCCUUUACCUAAAUGGAGAUAAAGUUUUUUUUUCCCAUGAAAAAUCUAAAUUAGAGUGCAUCAUUUUGCUAAUUUGUUGUUAUUUGGGGGAAUUUUUUAUUUAAGGGUAAAAUGAUAACUAUGAAUGAGAUUUUUUUAGCAAACCACGAACCUUUUCUUUUUUUAAUUCCAAAUUGUUCGUCUGUCACUUUCUAGGCAAAGUUUCAGUGAUCUUCUUAAACCUUUUCUUCUCCAAAAAUAUAAACUCUUUUUGGUAUUUCAUGUCCAUCGUGUCUUACCAUAGCGACAAUCAUACAACUUCCUUUUUUUUCUUCACAAAUUUCUCCAAUUCCUAACUCCAAUCAUGAAUCCAAACAUCACCAAAGAGUACCCUCUCGAGAGAGUGAAGCCAAGAACGAUCGAGGUAUUAUACCUACAAGUAUCCAUUCUCUAUGGCUUACUUGAACAGAGACCAGAGACGUCUCUUUGAUUCCAGGAACUUUCAGAAUAUCAAAAAAUACUCACUUUUCUUCAUACGUUCAACUUCUUACAAGUCGGCCACAAAAAAAAUCACUUUUCGUUUCCAUCUCCUGUCAAGUUUUUCUAUUUUCAUCAUUUGCACUUAUUUGUGGAGGUAUACUGUGUUAAUACUUGAGUUCUUGAACUAAUUUUUAUGUCGACUCAUUCUCAAGUUCAUUGAGAGUUUCUAUGCCUAUUGUAGAUCUCUAACUCAUUUGAUUCAUGAUUGGAGUUAAGGUUUGGAGGACAAUUAUUUUAUUUCUCUAGCAUUCAUUUUCUACUCUCAACUUCAAAAUUCAGCACAAGACUAUCAAAGAAUUGAGUUGAAGAUUUGAAGAAAAAAAUCCUAAGAGGCAAAAGGCAUUUAGUUGUGGAGAAGAACAAGACAAUUUUCCAGGACAAUUUUGUUUGGCCAAUUGAAGUUUCCUUAAUUGGAAGAUUUUGUCUACCAAAGAGUCGUUGCAUUGUAGAGACAGUAAGAAAAUGUCAGCUUGUCUAUUAUGCUUACAAUUACAAGAAAGUAAACGAACGAGGUUUCAAGCACAAUGAUACAAAUUCAUAGUUUUGACUAUUAGUUGGAGAGGAAAGAGUUGGAAGAAAGAACUAGAGAAGCUAAUGUGAAAACAAGUCAUUCAUAAGUUCUCGCUUCGGUCAUGAAGCUCACUCUCUUGCAAGUGCUCAUAAGAGAAAUUCUAAUGACGUAUUUAUAGUGGCAUUUGUACUUCAGAAACUUUAUGUAUUUAUAAAAAUAGUUUGACAAUAUUAUUAUA